rnacentral:pre_miRNA from 1 species
UCUUUAUGGAUGAGCAAAGAAAGUGGUUUCUUAAGAUGAUACCUACUCCUGGUGAAGAUGCUGUGAA